GUACUCGCUUCAGCAGCACAUAUACUAAAAUUGGAGCGAUACAGAGAAGAUUGGUAUGACCCCUGCGCAAGGAUGACACACAAAUUCGUGAAACGUUCCAUAUAUAU
ensembl:snRNA U6 U6 spliceosomal RNA